GCGAGGACGGGUAGCCGGCCUGAGAGGGCGACCGGCCACACUGGGACUGAGACACGGCCCAGACUCCUACGGGAGGCAGCAGUGGGGAAUAUUGCACAAUGGGCGGAAGCCUGAUGCAGCGACGCCGCGUGAGGGAUGACGGCCUUCGGGUUGUAAACCUCUUUCAGCAGGGACGAAGCGCAAGUGACGGUACCUGCAGAAGAAGCGCCGGCCAACUACGUGCCAGCAGCCGCGGUAAGACGUAGGGCGCGAGCGUUGUCCGGAUUUAUUGGGCGUAAAGAGCUCGUAGGCGGCUUGUCGCGUCGACUGUGAAAACUCGGGGCUCAACUCCGAGCUUGCAGUCGAUACGGGCAGGCUAGAGUUCGGUAGGGGAGACUGGAAUUCCUGGUGUAGCGGUGAAAUGCGCAGAUAUCAGGAGGAACACCGAUGGCGAAGGCAGGUCUCUGGGCCGAUACUGACGCUGAGGAGCGAAAGCGUGGGGAGCGAACAGGAUUAGAUACCCUGGUAGUCCACGCUGUAAACGUUGGGCGCUAGGUGUGGGGGACCUCUCCGGUCUUCUGCGCCGCAGCUAACGCAUUAAGCGCCCCG
rnacentral:rRNA from 1 species